AACUGACCUGAUAUUUCUCUCCAUUCUUUUAAAAAAAAGAUCCAUGAGGAAAUAAGCUAAUGAGAGAUAAACUUUACUUUUGAUUCAAUAGCCAUGGGAGAGGAUGGACUGGUAUGAAGCUCUCCUGGCUCUAAUGGCUAAAGGGGAAUAGGAAGCACUUAUAGGAGGAUUGCAUUCUGGGUAGAGGGAGAGACUGCAAUAGAACACAUCUUCCUUGCUAGAUGAUGCCUGAACAUCUGACUCCACUUCUGUGACUUCUUUUCAACUAGCUACAGGAGAUGGGAGUAUAGGCAGCAAGCUGACAACGUCCAAGAAAGAGCAUUCAUACUAUUAUCUCUCAGAAGCUAUACCCAUCCCUGAGGGAGAAUGCACAGAAUGCCUUGCCUUGAAGCUGCAACUGGGAAAGCAUGGAAAGAAUGGUUUCCAGGAUAGUGUUACUGUGCUCUUAUAAGAAGGAGGAAUGUGGAAGAGAUCCUGGAGAGAAAAAAUCAGACAAGAAUUCUAAUGUAUUUGUUGGUGGCAGGGAGUGGUGGUGAGGGUAGGAAACCAAGACAGAUCUUAAAGAUUAAAUUUAGGAGACAGAGCUUACUGCAACAGAAAAUUAAACAGAAACAAUUUUGUUUACAAAUCACGUCUAUUACCUCAUUAACAUAACUUUGUGCACAUAACAAACUGUAGUGUAGCUAAUUUUUUUCUAAAUGUCAGUAUACAUUUCAGGAUAAAAUAUAUCAAUAUUUAUCCAGUUUAAUAAACAAAGUCAGCAAAUAAAUUUUGUUUUGGUUUGUUUUUGCACAGAUGCAGUCACCAUGGUGCUUUAAGGAAAAUACAAUGGUGCAAUCUGCAUGUGCUUUCGCAAAUUUUUAAGUCGUUCAAAAUUAGAAAGAAAUCUAAAGCUUUACUGCCAGCACCAUAGGUAAAGUAAAAACAAACAAAAAACCACUAAAGCUCUGGCUAAUCAUGUUCCCCCUGCCCUAGGAAAUAUCUGUGAAUUAUUAAUAAGGCAAAAAAAACCCUGUAAGAUUUAAAUACCGAAUGACCAAUGUGCUAGGAAUGCAAAUGUUUGCUGAAUGUGUUAAAAUAACCUGGAAUUCAAAUAAUCUAACCUCAUAAUAUCCUCACAACUGAAUAAACCGCUAAACACAUUUAUUCUUAGCAAUACUUCUUACCAGCUUUACCUUGAUUUUUGUACAUAGGUAAAAUUAAAUAAAAGUAAACUUUUCUCCCAGUUAAAAUGAGUAUACUAAUAAAAAAAUCAUCCCUGGUAUAUAAACUUAAGUCCAGUGUACUAUAUAAAUGUAGGGAAUUGGCCAAUGCAACAUGCUUUGAAUAAAAAAUGCUUGAGAUUUCUAACUGGAGUGAUUUUGCAUAUUAUAAUGUUAACUGAAAAAGGGACCACAUGAAGAGGAAAGGGCAAAUCUUCACUUAUAAACAUGUUAAAUCUCAGAUGACGACAGGAAAAUGGUGUAUAGUUUAGGGAUUCAUUAAAAUAAAAAUGAAAUUAUGAAAUUAGAUGAGUCUGCCGGGUAGGUAAAGAUUGCAAAAAAUGUUAAGGAUGGAUUAAAACAUACCUAUGUUCUCCCUAAAACAAAAAAUUUAUGAUGUCACAUACUUCUACCCUACUUAAAAACAUUUCAAGAUUUUCAGGUAAGGCACCUGUGAUAUUAUGUGAUAUAUACAGUUUGCCCACUGUGUCCAUGGUUCCUGCAUCUGUGGAUUCAAGCAACUGUGGAUGGAAAAUACUCAUAAAAAAAUUGCAUAAAAUUAUAAAAAAGCAAAACUUGAAUUUACUAUGCUGAAUCUUUGAGAAUGAAGUGAUGUGUAGGUACUGUAUUAGGUAUGUAAAAAUAAAAUUUAAGGUUCUCCCAAAUGUAUUACACCAAGGGGAGAAGUUAACUCUUGGAAACUGACUCAUAACAUGGCUGUUUUCUUCUCUGAUGCAUGACCGUUGCCUUCCUGACCUCUGUGUUGAGAUUGCAUGAACCAGAGUCUACUCUUUACUUAAACCUAGACUAAAUGAGGGAGAUAGAGACCACUGUGACUAUUACCUCUUUACAAUAAAAUGUUAAUCCCUUUAGAGUGUAAUCAAUAGUAGCCAAUCAUAUAUCUAUCUGUUAGCCUUUGUAUGGAAAAUGUCAUUCUUUUUAGCACCUCAGUUUAUGCCUGUAUCAGUUUUUGCCCAUAUAAACAAUCCUCAUUUUUCUCCAUGCCAGGAGCACUGACCAGCAUUCUUUGAUGUAAUUCUGCUCGCAGAUGGCCAAUCUCAUACUUUGUACCUGAAUAAACUCUUUUAAUUGGACCCUGGGACUUUUAAUUAUUUUAGGUUGCUAAGUAUGAUAAGUAAUCUAGAGAUGCUUUAAAGUAUAGGGGACGGUUUGUGUAGGUUAUAUGCAAAUACUAUGCCAUUUAAUAAGGGUUAAUCUGAGGGUUUUGGUAUCCAGGGGGGCCUGCAACCAAUCCCCCUUGGAUACAGAAGGACUGUAUUGACUGCAUUUUGGUUUCUGUCCAUGAUUCCUAGCUUAUAGCUCCAAUAAUUCUUGAAAUUUCCUAAGUGACUAGAGCAAUAUGAUUAUCUUUUGCUAAAACAUUUGGCCCUUUGUUACUGUUUCCUGAAAAGCUCCAGAGCAAUAAAGGUGAAAGACAAUCUUUUAUUUUUAACAAGCAUCUUUCUUUUUUUUUUUUU